rnacentral:rRNA from 1 species
GGAUUAGAUACCCUGGUAGUCCACGCCCUAAACGAUGUCAACUAGUUGUUGGGGAUUCAUUUCCUUAGUAACGUAGCUAACGCGUGAAGUUGACCGCCUGGGGAGUACGGUCGCAAGAUUAAAACUCAAAGGAAUUGACGGGGACCCGCACAAGCGGUGGAUGAUGUGGAUUAAUUCGAUGCAACGCGAAAAACCUUACCUACCCUUGACAUGCCACUAACGAAGCAGAGAUGCAUUAGGUGCUCGAAAGAGAAAGUGGACACAGGUGCUGCAUGGCUGUCGUCAGCUCGUGCC